UACGAAGGGGGCUAGCGUUGCUCGGAAUUACUGGGCGUAAAGGGCGCGUAGGCGGCUGCUCAAGUCGGGUGUGAAAGCCCGGGGCUCAACCCCGGAACGGCACCCGAGACUGGGCGGCUCGAGACCGGGAGAGGUGGGUGGAAUACCCAGUGUAGAGGUGAAAUUCGUAGAUAUUGGGUGGAACACCGGUGGCGAAAGCGGCUCACUGGCCCGGUUCUGACGCUGAGGCGCGAAAGCGUGGGGAGCAAACAGG
rnacentral:rRNA from 1 species